rnacentral:sRNA from 1 species
GGAUUUAUCCCAGAUAACCAAGGUUAGCUGUCGUUUCGAACUUUCUCUAUCGAGAAUGUGUCGAUAACAUAAAUUUUGGAAAAGCUUCUUCGGGGUUUCCGUUGAAGCGGAAA